AGAACUAGCAUUUUAAUUCCACAGUUCGUACCGAAGUAUAUAUAUUAUGCGAUGUUUGCAUUGUUGUUUAACAAUUAUGACUUUUCACUAUAUUGUCGUAUUAUAUGUAGUUUGUAAUGUUUGUGUGUGUUCAUAUUUACAUGUAUCCCUUGUUUGAACAGUAUAUAUGUUAUAUUGUUACUACACAAAAUAUCGUGUUGCUUCUGCAAUAUAUGAAAGACAAUGUUUUAACCAGAUUGAAUUUUAAAGUAUUUUUGUACUCAAUAUUUUUUUAUUAAUUUUAUAAUAAAAUUUCCAAUUGUAAAAGUUUU
rnacentral:misc_RNA from 1 species